rnacentral:rRNA from 1 species
GUUUGAUCCUGGCUCAGGAUGAACGCUAGCUACAGGCUUAACACAUGCAAGUCGCGGGGCAGCAUAGGGUUUCAGCAAUGAAAUUCGGAUGGCGACCGGCGCACGGGUGAGUAACACGUAUCCAACCUGCCCUUUACUCGGGGAUAGCCUUGCGAAAGUAAGAUUAAUACCCGAUGGCAUUGGAUUCCCGCAUGGGGCUUCAAUUAAAGGUGUGAACUGGUAAAGGAUGGGGAUGCGUUCCAUUAGGCAGUAGGCGGGGUAACGGCCCACCUAACCGACGAUGGAUAGGGGUUCUGAGAGGAAGGUCCCCCACAUUGGAACUGAGACACGGUCCAAACUCCUACGGGAGGCAGCAGUGAGGAAUAUUGGUCAAUGGGCGCGAGCCUGAACCAGCCAAGUAGCGUGAAGGAUGACUGCCCUAUGGGUUGUAAACUUCUUUUAUACGGGAAUAAAGUCACUUACGUGUAAGUGUUUGUAUGUACCUUAUGAAUAAGCAUCGGCUAACUCCGUGCCAGCAGCCGCGGUAAUACGGAGGAUGCGAGCGUUAUCCGGAUUUAUUGGGUUUAAAGGGUGCGUAGGCGGUUUAUUAAGUUAGUGGUUAAAUAUUUGAGCUAAACUCAAUUGUGCCAUUAAUACUGGUAAACUGGAGUACAGACGAGGUAGGCGGAAUAAGUUAAGUAGCGGUGAAAUGCAUAGAUAUAACUUAGAACUCCGAUAGCGAAGGCAGCUUACCAGACUGAAACUGACGCUGAUGCACGAGAGCGUGGGUAGCGAACAGGAUUAGAUACCCUGGUAGUCCACGCCGUAAACGAUGCUCACUGGUUCUGUGCGAUAUAUUGUACGGGAUUAAGCGAAAGUAUUAAGUGAGCCACCUGGGGAGUACGUCGGCAACGAUGAAACUCAAAGGAAUUGACGGGGGCCCGCACAAGCGGAGGAACAUGUGGUUUAAUUCGAUGAUACGCGAGGAACCUUACCCGGGCUUGAACUGCAGCGGAAUGGUUUGGAAACAGA